rnacentral:tRNA from 1 species
UGACGGGUAACUCAGUCGGUUAGAGUGUCGCUCUGUUAAAGCGAAAGUCGCGGGUUCAAGUCCCGCUCCGUCAGCCA